UUUGAAAAAUUUUUGUAAAUAAUGUGAAACUAGUCUUGUAUUGCGUAUAUUCUUAUUUAAUUGGGAGGCUGAAGGGUACCCAUCAUUUAUUAAAAUCAAAAAAUAUAUACAGAGUCAAGGAAAAGAGUGGACUGGCCUAUAUUUUUGUGAAUCCUAUAAAAUUGUACAAGAUUGCUCUAAACCGGAACAAUUUCAGUUGUAUGAGGAGAAGACUAGCUGAGUACGGCUAUCCAUGGAGGUCUAUGAUAUGUUAAUUAGAUUCAAAAACGAUUCAAAGUAUAGGGUAUGGAUAUAAAAAUUAAACCCAACAAGCUAUUAGGUUUGGACUUGGUCCCUCUUUUAGAUACACAUAAUUUUUAUUUUUUCUUUAUCAUUAUCUUUUCAUAUUUCUCAGUUCAUAAUAUGGUAUUUUAUGUACGUUAACAAAAUUCAAAAGAAAAGGUCUAAAAGUAUAGCAAAAUAACUUGUUGAAUAUCUAAUUUUCAUUUGAGACCCGAUGUAAUACCUGAUCCUUUUUUUGGACAAUAUUGGUUAUGGACAAAGAGUUUUAGUUGGAUUUGAAUUUGGGAUUGGACCUAAUAUACAUAAUACAUGUACUUUGUGUUUGGGUAUGGAUAUGAGUGAAACUGACAGCAAUUGACCCAAUCCAAGUGCAAGUACCAAUGAUCUAUCUUCCUUUCUCCAACAUCAAAUUCCUAAUUCCUUCUCACCUACAGGUCAGCAUGAGCCAGGUGUAGAUAUAUAUUAUCAUUUUGUUACAUCAUAAACUUUAAGCAAUGGACCCAAUACAUCUAAAUGUAAGUAUCAAUGAUCUAUCUUCCAUUCUCCAACAUCAAAUUCCUUCCUUCCCACCUAAAGGUCAGCAUUAGCUAGGUAUAGAUAUAUAUUAUCAUUUUCUUACAUCAUAAACUUUAUUACAUUAGCAUACUAUAUUUUCAUCAAAAAAAGAUAGGUUAGCAUAUUAUAUU
rnacentral:lncRNA from 1 species